CAUAAGGCGCCGCGCUACCGCGGCGCUUAAAACACGAAAUACAGCUUCCCGCAGCGCUUAAUUAUCCCGCGCGGUGCCUCAAUUAUUAGCGCAGCGUCUUAAAUCAGUAAGCGAUUUCAUCCCUGUGAGAUACCUCAGGUAAAUAUCGAUCGGGGAAGUUUAUGAAUACACAGUGUAGCUAGCUGUUUACCGUGUACUGAUAAGGGUUUAAAGACGACACGUGUUGAUGAAAGUCUGUGUUUUCACAAGUUUGCGGUUAAUUGGAGCAGGAGUGAUUGGAUUAUAAUUAGUUAAAGAUUAUAAUUAGUCUCUGCAACGAAAUGGGAUAACAGUUGGUGACGGAGUGCAUGGGCUCUUUCAUCACUCUUCUCCCUUGAAGAAGACCGGGCAGUUAUUGAAUGGGCACAGGCGAAAGCCACCCUUACCACAGAUGAACACUUUGCGCACCAUGGAGUGGAUUGUUGGUAAUCUGUCCGAGUCUCACCCAAACCUGAGCAAAGUCGCUACAGUGGGACUGCUUCUACCAACCUCCACAGCUGAUUGUGAGAGAGGUUUCAGCAGUUGAAUGUGUAAAGACCACCCACCAUUCACCGGUGAGCAUGAAA
rnacentral:lncRNA from 1 species